AUUGAACGCUGGCGGCAGGCCUAACACAUGCAAGUCGAACGAGUGGCGGACGGGGGAGUAAUGUCUGGGAAACUGCCUGAUGGAGGGGGAUAACUACUGGAAACGGUAGCUAAUACCGAAUCCCAUCGGAGGUGCCCAGAUGGGAUUAGCUAGUAGGUGGGGUACAGGCUAACCUAGGCGACGAUCCCUAGCUGGGCUGAGAGGAUGACCCGCCACACGGGAACUGAGACACGUUCCAGCCUCCUACGGGAGGCAGCAGUGGGGAAUAGUGCACAAUGGGCGCGAGCCUGAUGCAGCCAUGCCGCGUGGAUGAAGAAGGCCUUCGGGUUGUAAAGUACUUUCAGCGGGGAGGCGUUACCCGCAGAAGAAGCACCGGCUAACUCCGUGCCAGCAGCCGCGGUAAUAC
rnacentral:rRNA from 1 species